CUGACUAUUGCAGCUGAAAAUGCGUGCCAAGUCUGCAGACACAGAGGAAUAACUUUUCCAUGUAGGUUGAGCUUGUCUAAGCUUUUGUGGUACAAAGAAGCACGGCAAGGUGAUGGAACAGCUUGUCCUAGAUGCCAUGGCCAAGCAGUUGGAGAAGAAGAAGAUCAUCAGGAAUAGUCAGCAUGGAUUUAGCAAGGGGAAAGUGUGCUUGAGCAACCUCCUAGGCUUCUGUGAGGCAUCAGCAGCUAUAUAGAUGGCGGGAGAGCAAUGGAUGUAGUCUACCUUGACUUCAGCACUGCUUUUGAUGCAGUCUCCCACGACAUCCUGAAGUGCAGUGUUUCAGAAGAGAGAAAAACAAACAUGGCGGCCAUGAGCUGGCUUUCUGUG